CGCUGGCUGCAUGCAGGGCACUGCUAGGGAGCCUGCCUCCUGGGUGCUUCCUGCUUGGAGCUCCAGCUUUGGCUGAGUCCCAGGCUGCAGGAGGCCAGUGGGCAACAUGCUUUGGGACCCUCACAGCAGUCUUGGGGGGAACUGGUGUUCUGUUUGGUCUGGCUGUGCAGAUCAGGACACACAGGCCAGGAGGGGACCUGGGAUUUGCAAGCAGGCAAGAGGAAGGCAGGGUUAUAAUGGAGAAUGGUGCCCUGAGUCCUGUGAGCUGGCCAAGAUGAUCCUCGAUCCUCUGCAGAGCUGGUGCCAAGUGGCCUUCCCCAGCCGGCCAGAUGGCCCAACAUGUGCAAUACCUCCCUCAGCAUUGUGACUACUCUUGAUGACCUGACAGAUAGGACAGGAGCUCCUCUGGCAGGGUCAGGAGGUUUUGUUCAAAGCCCCGGAUCGAUUUGAUGUCACUAUUGAGAGCUGCUGAGUAAUGUACUCCCAGUGGCUUUUUACAAACCGCGUUCACCGCUGUGAGUUAACAACCGCGGACCAAAAGCCCAAAUCCUGGCCAUCACCCUGCGCGUGUCCCUAGGAGCUCUGCCUGAACAUCGAUUUUUCAUUCCUGAAAUGAGUUGGUCCCAUUGGAACGUCGGCCAGUAUUUGGCUCAUGGAAGGAACUUCUGUCUGGCUUUCCUUGAAGGGCCUCCUAAGCGCCAAUGUUUUUGGUGCCUUGUGUGCCCAGCAGCUCUCUCCGAUUCUCCCAGCUCCCGCCUCUGGCCUGGGUCUGGGUUCCCAGCUCAGACCUCCUACAGGACCAGCUGGUGACAUGGAGACAUUGACAAACUAGGAAGUAACUGUGAUAUCUCUGGGGGGUUCGUGCUCUUCAGUGCCAGAUAGCUGUGGACAGGUAGGUGAUGGGCUAGCAGGCAGCCUAUUCUGACAGCUUUCAAGAGAAUCUAAGUUUCCUUUUUUUAAAGCUUCCCCCCCCAGCAUUCAUUCAUUCAUUCAUUCACUCAUUCAUUCAAUGUGUGUGGGGGCACCACAAGGUGUAUAGAGGUCAGAGGACAACUUCUAUGAGUUGGCUCUCUCCUUCUACCAUAUAGGUUCUGGAGAUCCAACUCAGAUCGGAUCUCUUUUGUAGCAAUUGCCUUUACCUGUUGAGCCAACUUGCUGGCCCUAUUGUUUUGUUUUGUUCUUGGAGAUAGGAUCUGA